ACGCAAGUGAAUUUUGUCAAUGUUUAGGGAUCUGUUAGUAUAUACAGUAAAUGAUCUGGGUUAAAAGCUAGAUUAAAACACUCAUUUUGAUUCCAUGAUGUCUUUAAAACUACAUAAGCAUUGAGAGUGCAUUCAAGGUGCAUAAACAGCCUGAGCAGAUGACGUGGCAUAGGUCCGGUUCAGGUGUUCUGAGCGCAGGUGACCUUCGUGUAGAGCAGUUGGGGAGGGACCGAGGUCAUGCUGACAUAGCCAAGAGGAGACAUGAGUGAGAGCCGACCAUCUGUCUACCUAUAACACUCAUAUAGUCGCUCAUUCAGAGCCUAGCUCUCUCUGCUGGCUUCUUCUUUCUGAGCUCCAUGUCUAAUAGCUUUAAUGUGAGUUGAUGUAACCCAGGUUACAAGAGCCAGCACCUGUGAAUAGAGAAAAAUAUAUAUUACUACAUAUGUAAAUAAAAUAAGACUAUUUUAUUAAUAUCAUCCCAUUAUUUUAUUCAUAUUCAUAUUAUAUAUCGAAUUCUCAACUUAUACUAAGUGAAAUAGUUAAUAACAGAAAAUGUCUAGGAAAAAUAAGUAAAAUUAGAAACUGGCCGUUUAAGAGUAACCCCCUCCCUCAAGGUUGACGUACAAAAAAAAAAAAAAAACAGAAAAGGGAAGAGAACGGUAGAGAAGCGGAGACAUGGCGAUUUAGUACAAAAACAAGCUUUUGUAACAAGAGAUUUAAAGUUGUUUAAGUUAAGUCGAUCUGUAAGAGAGUGCUCGUUAGCAGUAAAGUAGGUGCUUACAUUAGACGAUCGCGAUUGCACUGGAUCUGAAGAAAAUAGGAAACAGAAAAAAGUUAAUUCACUCGAGAGAAACCAAAAGUAGAGUAUUUUUAUUUUUCCAUCCGGGAUUGUUCUGUUUACUCACUAUUUUCCUUGGUUGGUUUUUUUUUUUGUUUGGUUUCUUUUCUUUUCUCUCUCUUCUUUGUUUAUUGAUGUUCCUGAGAGCAAUGCUGAUUCUGGAUCUGGAGUUUUGUUGACGUUUGGGAGAAUUGUUUCUGCUGUCCAUCGAGAGAGAGAGAGACACGGUUGCAGAAACUGGCGAGCCAUCCCAUUUCAUAGAAUCUGGAAGUUGUUCAUCACACUGAAGUUGUUGUUGUGUUCUUUCUCCUGCUGCAAUCCUGACUCCUGAGCGAACGUAGUCUUCUGAUCCGGCCCCACACAUACAUAGAAGUAGCUGUGAAACUAAAUUAUUUCCUUCCGUGCAUUCUUCGCGGGUGUUACAGGGGAAAAUUUGGCGAGCCAGCCAGGAGUCUUGGUUGCAACAAGAGUCUGUGAAAGAACCAGAGAAAAAUAAACCUGUGAGCCUCAGAAAC
rnacentral:lncRNA from 1 species